UACGGAGGAUGCGAGCGUUAUCCAGAUUUAUUGGGUUUAAAGGGUGCGUAGGCGGCUUUUUAAGUCAGCGGUGAAAUUUUGCAGCUCAACUGUAAAAGUGCCUUCGAAACUGGUUUCCUUGAGUGUAGAUGAAGUAGGCGGAAUUUGUGGUGUAGCGGUGAAAUGCUUAGAUAUCACGAGGAACUCCGAUUGCGCAGGCAGCUUACUAAACUACUACUGACGCUCAGGCACGAAGGCGUGGGGAUCAAACAGGAUUAGAUACCCUGGUA
rnacentral:rRNA from 1 species